rnacentral:rRNA from 1 species
UAACAAAAACAUUUCUAUUAGAAAUUAUUAAUAGUAAGAUCUGCUCAAUGAUAAAUAAAUAGCCGCAAUUUGUGCUAAGGUAGCAUAAUCAUUUGUCUUUUAAAUAAAGACUAGAACAAAAGAUUUAACAUUUCAAUUAAUUUCUUUAACUUAUAAUUCAAAAUUCUCCUAAAUGUAAAAAGACACUUAUUUAUAAGAAAGACGAUAAGACCCUAUUGAACUUAACUUUAGUUAAACUGGGGCAGUUUAUUAAUUAUUAUUUUAAUAUAAAUUUAAGAUUUUAUAUCCAGAAUAACUGAAUAAUUCAGUUACCAUAGGGAUAACAGCGUAAUUAUAUUUUAAAGUUCUUAUUUAAAAAAAAGAUUACGACCUCGAUGUUGAAUUAAUAACCUAAUUAAAGCAAAAUUAAAAAAGG